AGUGAACGCUGGCGGUAGGCCUAACACAUGCAAGUCGAACGGCAGCACAGUAAGAGCUUGCUCUUACGGGUGGCGAGUGGCGGACGGGUGAGGAAUACAUCGGAAUCUACUUUUUCGUGGGGGAUAACGUAGGGAAACUUACGCUAAUACCGCAUACGACCUACGGGUGAAAGCAGGGGAGCUUCGGACCUUUCGCGAUUGAAUGAGCCGAUGUCGGAUUAGCUAGUUGGCGGGGUAAAGGCCCACCAAGGCGACGAUCCGUAGCUGGUCUGAGAGGAUGAUCAGCCACACUGGAACUGAGACACGGUCCAGACUCCUACGGGAGGCAGCAGUGGGGAAUAUUGGACAAUGGGCGAAAGCCUGACCCAGCCAUACCGCGUGGGUGAAGAAGGCCUUCGGGUUGUAAAGCCCUUUUGUUGGGAAAGAAAAGCAGCAGGUUAAUCCCCCGCUGUUCUGACGGUACCCAAAGAAUAAGCACCGGCUAACUUCGUG
rnacentral:rRNA from 1 species